CUACGUAGGGUGCGAGCGUUGUCCGGAAUUACUGGGCGUAAAGAGCUCGUAGGUGGUUUGUCGCGUCGUCUGUGAAAUUCCGGGGCUUAACUCCGGGCGUGCAGGCGAUACGGGCAUAACUUGAGUACUGUAGGGGAGACUGGAAUUCCUGGUGUAGCGGUGAAAUGCGCAGAUAUCAGGAGGAACACCGGUGGCGAAGGCGGGUCUCUGGGCAGUAACGGACGCUGAGGAGCGAAAGCAUGGGUAGCGAACAGGAUUAGAUACCCUGGUAGUCCAUGCCGUAAACGGUGGGCGCUAGGUGUAGGGGUCUUCCACGACUUCUGUGCCGUAGCUAACGCAUUAAGCGCCCCGCCUGGGGAGUACGGC
rnacentral:rRNA from 1 species